rnacentral:sRNA from 1 species
UCGGUUUGAAGAACAGACGAUAUACAAAGUAGUUUACUAAAGCAGUUCUCAUUUCAGGUGUUAUUCACUUAUUCCUUCUUUGAGUCUCUCCAAUAAGUACUAAGUAAUUUCUGUAAUAAAAACCAUCUAAGCCGAAAGGCUCAAUUUAAGGAAUAUAAAAUGUCAAAUAAAAUGACUGGUUUAGUAAAAUGGUUUAACGCUGAUAAAGGUUUCGGUUUCAUUACUCCUGCUGACGGUAGCAAAGAUGUUUUUGUGCAUUUCUCAGCUAUUCAGAAUGAUAAUUACCGUACCCUGUUCGAAGGACAGAAAGUCACAUUCUCAAUAGAGGAUGGCGCUAAAGGCCCUGCGGCAGCGAAUGUCGUU